rfam:Enterococcus faecalis 13-SD-W-01 genomic scaffold Scaffold953, whole genome shotgun sequence.
CUUGGACUGGUUCGUAAACUUCCCAGGAUAAAAAACUAAGUAUCU